AAAGAAGCAAAGAUAGAGAAAAUCAAUACUGAUGGUGUGUUACUGAUUAAAGGUGUGGUGUCUUCCAGUUUCCUGGUGAUUGUUUUCAUCACUGAAAACUAUUCAAAUGAUUGAAGUCAUUUAGGAAGAGUGAAGAGCUGUACUGUCCAAAUUAAGAAGACAAACUGUCAGGGCUACUGCCAGAAAUGGGUAAACUAUUUUAUAUACCCUACCAUCAGCAGCACUCACCUGGUCCAGUGAACAGCAGUACUCAUUCAAAAGCAGAGGGAGGGUUCGGAGUCUUACAAAGACUGCUAAAACUUACAUGUGUUCAAAAACACCACCUAGAGCGGAUGAUGUUUGAAAGCCAUGGAAAUGGGCACAGUGGCAAUUCAGAGAAUGCUGGCUAUUUGUCUUCCAAGAGGAAGGAGGAUGAGUAAGUAUGCUUGAGAAGGUACUAUCAAUUGUGUAUCUUCUGACACCUGGGGAAGGUCUCACCUCCGGAUCGGAUCCUGAGGUAUUCUAGUCCCAUGUCUAUUUGCCUAAAAAGUGCUUGGAUUGCCUCUUCUACUUGAAACACAAACAUCACCUUAUCUUUGCAUUAAAACUUGUUUUUUACUUGAGCAACUUAAGCCAACUCCUUGCUCUUGCAUGAAACACCUUCUCUUUCUCCAUCUGGCCAGCAUUCCCUCUCUCAGCUUCCCAUGGACCCAUUUCCAAAUUGCUGUAAUCUACCCACUAAUAUGCUAUGAGCAAUUGCAAUGUGUGUGCCAUGAUCACCACUUACCUUCACAGUGACUGACUCUAGCCAGUUCUGGUCAUGUCCCCAGUUAGACAUAAGUCUGCUUAACAUCAGGAACAACUGGGUCAACAUGAAUCUACCUGGAUGGUAGCAGGAUUCUCAAUACUAUUCCUUCCAUCAAAUCCCUAGACAAUUGUGUGGGGUUUUCCUAGCAACAGUUAUAUGUCAAGAAUUGUAGAACUUUCUGGGUGGGUGAGUCAUAGUAAUAAAUACAUUUGUCUUUCUAAUUCACAUAUGCAAAAGCUCAGACAAUGGUCUCCCAGCUAACUAGAUGCAGCGUGAAUCUAGUUAGAAGGUCUGGGGUAAUCUCCAUACAGAGGAUCUCUACAGAGAAUUUUAUUCUUUAGAUUUUAUAAUGAAAGAGACAAAAUUAUCCAGCUUUUCACUGGAGGAAAACCAUUUGGGCCAUAGUGAAUGAAACACACUGACUGGGAGUCUAUUCUCUAAAUUACUGAGGCGCUAGCCUGGGCACUUUUAUUCCUUUUUUAAAAAAAUUGUAUUGCCUCUUUAAAGUAGGUUAUUUUUAUAGCUAUAGAAUCCUGCAACAGUAAACAGGAGGUGAAUGUAUCCGGCUUUAAAGGUGAAAAAGGUUAUUUAAGAGUGUUAUCAGAACUAGCCAGCUGCAAACACACACAGUAUCAGAAAACCAUAAGGCUUUCCCUUGUAGCAGGACUCAAUUAUUCAUUAGGCCACCCUGCUGCACAGGGGAGGGUGCUUAUAAACUUAGUGUCACAAAACCCUCUUGAUGUCCAGCCCUCCCUACCAUACUGUGGUAGAGAUGAACAGUUUAGGGAGUAGUAAUUAUCUCUCCAUCCUCCCUUCAUCUCAGAUGCACUAGAGAUUUGAAAGUGAUAGUAAUAGGAACAAUAAUGAUAAUGGUUGCCAUUUCUGGCACUUCCCAAGUUCCAGGGUAAGUCUUUAUCCUAAGCGUAGGUAAGUGAGUUGUAGGACAUGAUAGAGUAAGUUAGUGUAAGGGGUGGGAUUUGAGUCUUUUGAAGAGGAAAAAAUUAUGAUUUUCACCUGUUACUCUGACAUUUCUAAUCCUUCUUAUAGAAUAAUGCUAAUGCUAAUUAACCCUUUGGGAAAAUUUUUUUAAAGUUAAGGAGCAAUGGUUUCACGUGCAAAUCAUCUGCCCACAUAACUUUUGGAGCUUCAACUAGCAUAUAAAAGGCUCUGAGAAGGUCUGCAGUACAGACAACUAUUUUUCUUGUGUAACUCAGAGUCCACAAAUUCAUUUUGACUUCAGAUCCCCAUUUCCUAUCCCAUAAGGCGAGAUUCUAUUGCUAGAGCUAUAUAUGGACAGUGAUAUGUACUGAAUAAGGGAAGCCAGGAAAUCCCCUGUAGUUGAAAGUGGAAACCUAUUUUCCAUAAGAUCUCUUCAGAUCUUCUUUCUACUCUAUUUUGAAGCAUAGCCCUCUAGGGCCUUGUGUCAGUUCCUUCUGCUCAGAGUGGUGGUUACGGGGGGAAGAUGUUGGCUCCCAAGUCUCACUCCUACUCUCACAAGCUGAGAUGUAAUAGGCACUUUGUUAGGUGUUUGAACUUAAGUGUUGUUAUCUGUGAAAUAAUGGUUUAGAAAAAUGAAGCUUUAUUUCAUAGAGAUGUGAUAACGAGAAAUAAUAUGUUGAAAGCACUCAAAACAACUUACUGUCCUUAUUGCUCUCAGCACACCAGUGUGGAAAAGGUGAUGAUCCCAUGUCAGGAAAUCACAUCUGCUCUUUCUCAGCUCCAUAAAAUUCCCUUCCCUUUUAAUGUCCAGC
rnacentral:lncRNA from 1 species